rnacentral:snoRNA from 1 species
AUCCUGAAGUGAUGAUUUCUGCAGUCCGUGUUUCACCUGACUGUAAUGAUUACACUCUUACUGCACUGAUCAGGUC